rnacentral:rRNA from 1 species
AUUGAACGCUGGCGGCAGGCCUAACACAUGCAAGUCGAGCGGAGCGGCGGACGGGUGCGUAAUGCCUAGGAAUCUGCCUGGUAGUGGGGGCUGACGUACGGAAACGGGCGCUAAUACAGCAUACUAUCAGAUUAGCCUCGGUCGGAUUAGCUAGUUGGUGGGGUAAAGGCCUACCAAGGAGACGAUCCGUAACUGGUCUGAGAGGAUGAUCAGUCACACGGGAACUGAGAAACGGUCCAGAAGCCGACGGGAGGCAGCAUUGUGGAAUAUUGGACAAUGGGGGAAAGCCUGAUCCAGUCAUGCCGCGUGUGUGAAGAAGUUCUUCGGAUUGUAAAGCACUUUAAGUUGGGAGGCGUUACCAACAGAAUAAGCACCGGCUAACUUCGUGCCAGCAGCCGCGGUAAUUC